rnacentral:rRNA from 1 species
UACGGAAGGCAGCAGUGGGGAAUAUUGCACAAUGGGCGCAAGCCUGAUGCAGCCAUGCCGCGUGUAUGAAGAAGGCCUUCGGGUUGUAAAGUACUUUCAGUCGUGAGGAAGGUGUUAAGGUUAAUAACCUUAGCAAUUGACGUUAGCGACAGAAGAAGCACCGGCUAACUCCGUGCCAGCAGCCGCGGUAAUACGGAGGGUGCGAGCGUUAAUCGGAAUUACUGGGCGUAAAGGGCACGCAGGCGGUUAAUAAGUUGGAUGUGAAUCCCCGGGCUUAACCUGGGAAUGGCAUUCAAGACUGGUUAGCUAGAGUCUUGUAGAGGGGGUAGAAUUCCAUGUGUAGCGGUGAAAUGCGUAGAGAUGUGGAGGAAUACCGGUGGCGAAGGCGGCCCCUGGGACAAAGACUGACGCUCAUGUGCGAAAGCGUGGGGAGCAAACGAGGAUUAGAUACC